rnacentral:rRNA from 1 species
UGCAGUCGACGGAAGGNCCUUCGGGGUACUCGAGUGGCGAACGGGUGAGUAACACGUGGGUGAUCUGCCCUGCACUUUGGGAUAAGCCUGGGAAACUGGGUCUAAUACCGAAUAGGACCACGCGCUUCAUGGUGUGUGGUGGAAAGCUUUUGCGGUGUGGGAUGGGCCCGCGGCCUAUCAGCUUGUUGGUGGGGUAAUGGCCUACCAAGGCGACGACGGGUAGCCGGCCUGAGAGGGUGACCGGCCACACUGGGACUGAGAUACGGCCCAGACUCCUACGGGAGGCAGCAGUGGGGAAUAUUGCACAAUGGGCGCAAGCCUGAUGCAGCGACGCCGCGUGAGGGAUGACGGCCUUCGGGUUGUAAACCUCUUUCAAUAGGGACGAAGCGCAAGUGACGGUACCUAUAGAAGAAGCACCGGCCAACUACGUGCCAGCAGCCGCGGUAAUACGUAGGGUGCGAGCGUUGUCCGGAAUUACUGGGCGUAAAGAGCUCGUAGGUGGUUUGUCGCGUUGUUCGUGAAAACUCACAGCUUAACUGUGGGCGUGCGGGCGAUACGGGCAGACUAGAGUACUGCAGGGGAGACUGGAAUUCCUGGUGUAGCGGUGGAAUGCGCAGAUAUCAGGAGGAACACCGGUGGCGAAGGCGGGUCUCUGGGCAGUAACUGACGCUGAGGAGCGAAAGCGUGGGGAGCGAACAGGAUUAGAUACCCUGGUAGUCCACGCCGUAAACGGUGGGUACUAGGUGUGGGUUCCUUCCUUGGGAUCCGUGCCGUANCUAACGCAUUAAGUACCCCGCCUGGGGAGUACGGCCGCAAGGCUAAAACUCAAAGGAAUUGACGGGGGCCCGCACAAGCGGCGGANCAUGUGGAUUAAUUCNAUGCAACGCGAAGAACCUUACCUGGGUUUGACAUGCACAGGACGCCNGCAGAGAUGUCGGUUCCCUUGUGGNCUGUGUGCAGGUGGNGCAUGGCUGUCGUCAGCUCGNGUCGUGAGAUGUUGGGUUAAGUCCCGCAACGAGCGCAACCCUUGUCCUAUGUUGCCAGCGGGU